AUUGAACGCUGGCGGCAGGCCUAACACAUGCAAGUCGAACGAGUGGCGGACGGGUGAGUAAUGCUUGGGAAACUGCCUGCUGGAGGGGGAUAACUACUGGAAACGGUAGCUAAUCCCGCAUACCAUCAGAUGUGCCCAGAUGGGUUUAGCUAGUUGGUGGGGUAACGGCUCACCAAGGCGACGCUCCCUAGCUGGUCUGAGAGGAUGACCAGCCAGACUGGGAAUGUGACACGGUCGCGACUCCUACGGUGGGCAGCAGUGGGGAAUAUUGCACAAUGGGCGCAAGCCUGAUGCAGCCAUGCCGAGUGUAUGAAGAAGGCCUUCGGGUUGGAAAGUACUUUCAGCGGGGAGGCGUUACCCGCAGAAGAAGCACCGGCUAACUCCGUGCCAGCAGCCGCGGUAAUAC
rnacentral:rRNA from 1 species